rnacentral:tRNA from 1 species
AGGGCGCUAGCUCAAUUGGUAGAGCACUGGUCUCCAAAACCAGCGGUUGUGGGUUCAAGUCCCUCGCGCCCUG